rnacentral:rRNA from 1 species
UACGGGGGGGGCAAGCGUUGUUCGGAAUUACUGGGCGUAAAGGGCUCGUAGGCGGCCAACUAAGUCGGAUGUGAAAUCCCCAGGCUUAACCUGGGAACUGCAUCCGAUACUGGAUGGCUUGAAUCCGGGAGAGGGAUGCAGAAUUCCAGGUGUAGCGGUGAAAUGCGUAGAUAUCUGGAGGAAUACCGGUGGCGAAGGCGGUUCUCUGGGCAUUACCUGACGCUGAGGAGCGAAAGUGUGGGGAGCGAACAGG